AGAGGCGAGGGGCCACCCUGAGGCCCACGAUGGUAGCUCCCUGUCCCUCGCUCCGCUGGGGGCGGGGAGCCGGGGUUGAUGUGACUCUGCCCGACCCCUGUGCCCAGGGAUGUGCUUAAUGUUUGAUAAUCGGCCUGGGGCGGGGGAGGAAAUGCCUACACAACACACGUUAUUAACUGCGUCACUAACAUUUUUCUCCAUCGUUUGAAGAAAACAUAUCAAGCCCGGAUUUGUAACACUUGCCGGUUUCGUAACACUUACCGGUCACCCCAAAAUCGGUUCUUCCAAAUAGGUACCAGCUGGCUCCUGCACACCCCAAUACUCCUUGGGGUUUGGGAGAGUUGGAGCUGGAGGGAAUGGAAAGGCUUUAUAAGGGCCUCAUUAACCCUGAAGGACCAGAGGACUGAUACAUUCCCAUCAGCAUCCUAGUCCAUGCAGUGGCCUGGAAAAAGUUGAUGCAGUAUCUUCAUCGGGAACUGAGGGCAAACUGGAAAUCCUGAAAAAGUGCAAGCUCAGGAUUCUACAGAGACCCCAGAAGGAAAGCAGUACCAUAUGUAAGGUGAAUGUCUUGAGGACUCCAGCAAAAGCACUUCCAAGAGCUAGAGAAAAUGAGAAGACACAAGCAUACAUUGAAGCUAGGAGUAUUGAACUUAGACCUCAAAGAACUUUCGGACCAUUGAGACUGUUAAACACUGAAACAACUGGAGGCAUCUCCCUAUCUACAGAGAGGAAAGGGUCACAGGGUUGAUGUCCACCAGGGUCAGUUUGCUCAGCCCCAGGCCAACCAUAAAUCCCCAGAUAUCGCCAAAGUGUCUGUUCUUGGUUAUGGGAAGGUUGGGGAUAAGUGAGUGGAAUGAGGGCAAAUCAGUCUUCACUACUAUGGAAACAACCCAUUCAGUUGUAUCAUCUUUGAGCAUGUUACAGUGACAGACAGGCAGUAAAUGCACAGUCAGGGAAGGAUGACCCACCACCAACCUUGGGCAGGUCACUAGUGCUCCUGGAACCCCAGCAGAUCUGAAAGAACACACCCUCUUCCCCAGUCAGCUCAGGUGUCCAGACAGGUAUAACCUAGGCAUCUCUGACUCAUUCUAACAAAUUCCUGAGGGAUUCAUGUCUACAUUUCCCCCACCACUCUAGAGGAGCUUUCUGGGAUCACGAGAAGACAAGGAACUCUGGUGGAGGGGCUAGGCCCUUCCUUAGGACAAGAUAAAAGGUGGGUAGGGUAGAGCU